rnacentral:rRNA from 1 species
CCCUUAGAUGUCCUGGGCUGCACGCGCGCUACACUGAUGUGUCCAGUAAGCACCUAACCUAUUCCGAGAGGAGCGGGUAACCUUAGCAAAGCACAUCGUGAUGGGGAUAGAUUAUUGCAAUUAUUAGUCUUGAACGAGGAAUUCCUAGUAAGCACAAGUCAUCAGCUUGUGUUGAUUACGUCCCUGCCCUUUGUACACACCGCCCGUCGCUCCUACCGAUUGAAUGUUCCGGUGAGCUCUUCGGACUGCGCGGUCUGCAGUUUCUGCGUUCCGUGCGGAAAGUUGUGCAAACCUUAACAUUUAGAGGAAGGAGAAGUCGUAACAA